CCUGCCCCUACAGGCGUUGCAGCGCGGCUGCAUGUAUCGUGUUUGUGUCAUUGGGUGGCGUACAAGAACAAGGCUAUCUACACUCUGCGUCCUGACAAAAUGGGCGUUCAGAAUGAUUACUAGCCUGACACU